AACACAUGAGUCUAUGGGGGACCAUACAUACUCAAACCACCAUACCAGCACAGUUCCAUAGCAUCAUGCCUGGGGUAUAGAAGAGCAUCAUGGCAGAAGGCAUGGCAGGGCGGAGCCAGGCUGCAGAUGAUGGGAGCGAGGUAUGCAUUACCAAGGCGUUUCCCUGGUGACCUACUUCCUUCAACAAGGAACUGUCUUAAUAGCCACUUUUAAAGACCAGGGCUGGACUUCGAGUGAACAAGCAGGAGCUUCCGGUAGCCACAUCAGACGCCUUCAAAAACAG